GAAGAGUUGGUCAACAAUUUUGUUUUUCAAAGUUAAAAAAUAUAAUGUAAUCAGCUUAAACAUUGGUGAUUGUGACAAUCAUAAAUCUACAUGAUAAAGCAUCAAAUUAGAUGUUGAAAGAUCAUUUACGCAAUUAGAAAGAUAAAGCACCAAAUUAGUUUUUGAAAGAUCAUUUACGCAAAUAAAAAGUGAUUUGGAAUGUCUAAAAGGUUAAUAUGAUAUUAGAGACAUGUACUAAAAUAUAUAUAAAAAAAUUAUCAAUAGCUUCAAAGGUGUGAUUUAAACCACUCUUUUUACAGAAAAUAGAGAGAGAGAGAGAGAGAGAGAGAGAGAACACGCAAUUUAUGCAAUCCACAGACGGUGGCAAUAGCCUAUUGUCCACUAAAUCAAUAGUGAGGUUUGAUGUUGAUUAAUUGAGGAGAUUGAGGCCAAAAUGUUUCUCACCCGUUUACAUCUUUCUAACCAAAAAAGAAGGCGAGUAUAAAAAAAAAAAAAAAUUAUAAAGAGAACAAGAGGUGCACCAUUGAUCCAUGAAAUCUUGAAUAGAGAUUCCAAGAAUUUGAGGAAUAGAAAAUUAGAAUUGAGUCUACAAAUAGACUAAUUUAUUGAUAUUUGUAUGUCUUGUCCUUUCCAAUCCAUCAGAUAAUUUUUUCAUCUUAUUUUUUAUUUAAAUAAUGGACCAUGUUGAUCACCAACAGCACAUUAAUAAUCAAUUUAUUAUAUAAUUUUUUUAAAUUAUAAUCAUAAUUAAAUAUUUAUUCAUAUAAUCAAUUAAAUAAUUAAUUAUUACAUUAUAAUCAAAUUACAAUUAUUAAAUAAUUAACUAAGAAAUUAGAAUAUAAUGAUAUGUUUAUCAAACUAUUUUUCUUUUUCAUUUUUUAUUGAAAAAUAUAACAAGUGUUUAUCAAGAUGGUUAGUGGAAUUUCCAAUGUUUAACAAUUCAUUUCUGAAAAUUGUAGAACUGAAUAAUCAUUUAAAUUAUUGUUAUAUGCCUACAAAAGAAAAUGUAUUGAGUAAUUAAUAAAAUUGAAAAUUAACACACAACACAAUAAUGUUAUCUCUUGUAAAAGAAAAUGUGGAAUUUUCAUAUAUAUUAUUUUAUUAUUAUAUAAAAUAUGUGUUUUUUUUUGCCAACUAAAAUAUGUAUAAAUAUAUUUUUAUUAGAAUAUAUGUAUAUAUAUAUAUAUUUAUUAUAUGAUAGUAUAUCAUCUAUAAUAUUGUAGUAUAAAAUAUAUAAAGUAGAUAAACAUACAAAAGUAAAUCAAAGUUUGAUCCUUGUUCAUUAGAAAAGAAAUUAAAUCUAAGUAAAACCUAAAAAAACUUAAAGGUAUUAAAAAUAUAAAAGUAACACUAACAAAAGAUGGACGCACUUCAUAUACAUGGAAGGUGAGUGUAUUACUUUAAAAGAAAAAAAGAAAAUAAAUAUUAUACUAAUAUUGAUGUUCCUCAUUUUGUCUUAUUUUAUUUAUUUUUAUUUGACUUAUAUGUUUUAAAAUUUUACUAUAGUCUUUUUAUAUUAAAAUUAGUUUUUUACCCAUGCCAAUGCACGAAAUUUUUAUAUUUAUAAUAAUAUUUUAUUUAAUAUGUUAAAAAUCUACUUGCAAUUUUAAUAGGUUCAAAGUUUUAUUUUUAUCACUAAAUAUUUGUAACUUCUCUCUUUUUUAUUUUUAAUUAAAUUUAUAUAUUUAAUGUUAAAAUCUUUGAUUUGAUUUUUAAUUUCAUAAAUUAAAAGUACAAAAUUUCAAAAUAAAAAUAUAAUUUGUCAACAAAAUUUUUAAAUAACUUUUUGAACUCCAUCUUAAUUUAGAAAAAUAUAGUAAUAAAUAUUUAAAAUGUUAAAAUUUUAAUUAAAUUCAUUUCAUAAAUUUGAUUGCUUAAUUGGUAAAAAAAAAAAAAGAAAUUUGCUAUAUAUAUAAAAAAAAGGUUUACAUAAAAUUCAAAUGUAAUAAAUAUUUAUAGAUCCUAGAAAAUUAUAAGAAAAAUUGAGAAUUAAGAUAAAGUGUAACUAAAAUUUAAUAUUGAAGUUAAUCAAAAAAAUAGAAAAAUUUUAAUUUAAAGACAAAAGUAUGAUUUAGGAAGUUAAACCGAGAAAAUUUUUUCA
rnacentral:lncRNA from 1 species